GGAUGUGAAGGCGAUCUGGCUGCGACAUCUGUCACCCCAUUGAUCACCAGGGUUGAUUUGGCUGAUCUGGCUGGCUGGGAGGGUGUCUCCUUCUUCCCUCACUGCUCCAUGUGUGUCCCUCCUGAAGCUGCACAAUGGGUCAAAGAGGAUGACCAUCCCUGAUAGAGGAGGACUGGUCUUCCGUCAAGGGUAUCUGAGUAGCUGCACUUCCCUGCUAGAACCUCCAAACAAGCUCUCAAGGUCCAAGUCACCAUCAGCAGGUGACCUACUUAGCUGAACACGUCAGGCUCCUGA
ensembl:misc_RNA 7SK 7SK RNA